GAACGCACAUUGCGCCCGCGAGUAUUCUCGCGGGCAUGCCUGUCCGAGCGUCAUUUCAACCCUCAGGGCCCGCCUGCUUGCAGGCGCGGCGCUGGCGUUGGGGAUCGGCCCUCACCGGUCGUCCCCCAAAUACAGUGGCGGUCUCGCUGCAGCCUCCCCUGCGUAGUAGCAACACUCGCAUGCGGAGCGCGGCGCGGCCACGCCGUAAAACCCCCGACUUUCUGAACGUUGACCUCGGAUCAGGUAGGAAUACCCGCUGAACUUAAG
rnacentral:misc_RNA from 1 species